UAAGUAUAGGCGAAGCACGGGCCUGUUUGCAAGGGAUGCAGUGAUUUUGCAUUAUGCCACUGCUUAUAUAUUGUAUUACAUUUGAACAUUUGGAAGUGAAUUUACAAGUGUACACAAUUGCUAAGUACUGCAUUUAUAAAUGUGAGGCAUAUAUAGCACAGUUUCAUACUAUUUUAUUAAACGAUAUUGUUCAUUGUAAUGAAACAGUUUCAUUAAAUAUAUCUACUAUAAAAGCACCCUAUUAUGUUUCAAUAUAACACUGAAUAUAUAAUAAAUAUAAAAUUAGGAGUAAUAACUCAUAGUUUUUAUUUAAAACUUGAAAAAUUUCACAGCAUAAACCAAUGCAAUUAAUAUACUGAAAUCUGAUAUGAAAACAACUGAAUUGGUAUUUAA
rnacentral:lncRNA from 1 species